GCCCAUAACCAAUUCACCCCGAAUGUAGCCAACCUCAUUGUGUCUCAGAAAUUAAGCAGGUUUUGAGCCUGGAUGGUGCUUGGAUGGGUGACCACCUGAGCAUGCCAUGUGUUCCAGGCU
rnacentral:rRNA from 1 species